CAAGAGAAACAUCUUCCUUCAAUCGACAAGACUGCCAUACUUUGGCAACAUCGAUGAGUGGAGUAUCUACAUUCGAUGUGAGAUGCUCAGGUGGAGUCAACAGCGCAUUAAGCCAUUUUUUGAAUUCAACCUCCUGGUUCUCUACCCAGUUAUAAUCGUAGUAUAGAGUACUGCAAAAGUUCACCUGGCUAGGAAUGGAUCUUCUGUUGUGGUUGCAGCGAAUGGAUCAGGGUUGCAAAGUCUAGUAAGAAAAGAAUCUGGAUCAUGCAGCUUCAUACUAACUUCAUUUUCAAAGCCCUUACUUGAUUCAGUGUUACAUUUUCUUCUAGUCACUCCAGCGAGUGAUAGCUUUGUAAUCUGUACUCCAGGUAUUGAA
rnacentral:misc_RNA from 1 species